rnacentral:rRNA from 1 species
AUUGAACGCUGGCGGCACGCCUAACACAUGCAAGUCGAGCGGCAGCAUGGUGUGUAGCAAUACACACUGAUGGCAAGCGGCGGACGGGUGAGGAAUACGUAGGAAUCUGCCCUCAAGCGGGGGACAACCAAGGGAAACUUUGGCUAAUACCGCAUAAUCUCGAGAGAGAAAAGCUGCCCGCAAGGGUGGCACUUGAGGAGGAGCCUGCGUCCGAUUAGCUAGUUGGUGAGGUAAGAGCUCACCAAGGCGAUGAACGGUAACUGGUCUGAGAGGACGACCAGUCACACUGGGACUGAGACACGGCCCAGACUCCUACGGGAGGCAGCAGUGGGGAAUAUUGGACAAUGGGGGCAACCCUGAUCCAGCGAUGCCGCGUGAGUGAAGAAGGCCUUCGGGUCGUAAGGCUCUUUAGGUUGGGAAGAAGUGCAUUCGGCGAAUAACCGAGUGUGUUGACGGUACCGACAGAAUAAGCACCGGCAAACUCUGUGCCAGCAGCCGCCGUAAUAC